AUAUAUUAGACUAGCGACGAAGGCCAAUUUGGCUCCCUGAAGGAUACAGGAAGGUCUGCCGAAGGGUUGCCCGGGGCUAAGGGGCAGACAACACAGCCCUAAACUCUCCAUCAAAGGUCUUCAGGCACAUGACCUUGGCCCACAGGGGAUGCCUUUCCUUUCCUGUCUUAGUAUCGUGAUCAUCUAAAGGCAGCUUCUCACUGACCCAUGUGGUCUCAGAGGUCCUGUGAUAAAGUUACAAAACCUACUUUUCACUGGAGUUGGUUUUCAAAACAUCUGUUAAAACUGGGCAGCCUACCAGAGAACCGAUCCUAGUGAAACCAUGUUGAAAACCUCCUUUGAGAUAAAUAUUUACAUAGCUGCGAGAUUAGGAGAUUUUGAAUGUUUUUUAUUUUUAAUUUCAUAUCUCACAUGAUGCCGACGGCUCAUCGGUUUCGUUUGGGGAAAUCCAACAUGGCGCCCGGGUACUGACCCAGGUACUGACGGGGAUGAACACAGAAAGAAAGACGACGCAGAGGAGGGCACUGAAAAGCGCAUGUGCCCUGUGCCUGCCUUUCCCAAGGUGGGCUGGAGUCACCUGUGUGCAGAGCUUCUCCUUGGCCAGGAGGGGGCGCUUGCUCCUCACACCCAAGUGAAGGAUCAAAGGUUAAAGGGCACGAGGCUGUUCCAGAUCGGCGUGGGCAGCAGAGGCGUGUGGCCGCGGGGUCUCCCCGACUCCCCGUGAAAUCCCUCAGUCAGGUAUUUGUGCCGUCCGCCUCCCUGCUGGGGAGAAGGGGGUCUCGGCCCGGGAUCUGACCCAGGGGCUCGGGGCCGACUGACCCGCGUCUGCU
rnacentral:lncRNA from 1 species